ACUGAGAGAAAUAAUUUAUAGUUGAAGGAAAGUACGUGUAAUUUUCCUUACAAGACGUUACAACUUUCAAUACAUAUUUAUCGAGAUAUCCCAGGCAUUAAAAGUAAAACAAUUACACGGCAACAAUAUAUUAAAACGAGAAAAUAUAUAUUCAUGACUGCAAGAUGUUCAAGAGUUAUCAAACAACGACCAAGUCAUAAGCCGGAGCCGCUAUCUCGCGUGAUCAACAAUCACCGGACAAUUGACGUCUUUAUCCGCGGGUAUAUUCAUUGAGGAGCCUGUUCCCAGCCAAGUUAGUAAGACGAAUUAACGCUCCUGAGAUUUACCAUCGACAGCUUUCGCUCUCGAACUCAUGCAUACUCAUAUAUCCAUAUACAUACAAGUCUGCUGAGGUGAGAUACACAAACAACCUGGUACAAAGCUCAAGAAAAAUAUCAGUCGACAGUGUUCAGUGUAAUCAAGAUAAGUAACCGAGGAACGUCGCCGAAAAGUGUCUUGGUCGUGUGGUACAGCAUCAAGAGGAACCAGGCCCCCCAUCGAACUGCAAUCCAUAAGCCUGCAAGACACACCCGUAAUCGCUGUUAUUUUAUCGUAAACGGUAAUGCACUCUCUUUAUUUAACUUUACCUCCUUAUUUUAAAUAUUUUUUGUGGCUGCAAGCCACACAAGCUCUACUUACAUUAUCCCCCGCAGAGGAGAGACCCGAGUUAAAAGUUAAGUGUAAAGAGAGUAGAGUAGAGUAAAGUCAGAGUAUAUCUUUAUUUCUUAUUCUACCCUAUUUUCUCUUUCUUUAUUACCCUGUUGGUUGGUUGAUCUUCAGCAUGACUAAAAAGAAGACGGGUAAGAAUGAGGAUGGAAGUAAAAAUAAAAUAAUAUGCAUCGGUACCAAUGAUUAUCGUGCGUCAUUACGCAAUUGCUGUGGCAAAUGAAAUGCAUUGGCCGUGUUCCGAUCUUCAUACUCUUAUUAUUCUGCUGGUUACUUGGUAUCGUAUGUGUGCAAACAUGAGGGAGAUUAAAUUGAGAUUUAUUGGAAAAUGUGACCGGUACUUUUUUUGUCCCUCGGAUUUCGUGCCCUCGAGCUUCUUCAUUUCAUUUUUUACAACAUGAUUAAUCGAUUCUUUUGUUAUUACUCUCAUUGGUUACUCUCGGAUCGGGUUUUUGAGUCAAGGCCGUGAUGAUCAUUGACGUGUCCGGAAUUGAUAGCCACGUGAAAGGUCCAUUUCCUUAUCUCAACUACUCUACACUAAUUUGCUACGACAUCCGUACGCCUACAUUUGUAUUUAAUUAAUUUUUUUACUACUCAUUAUUAUUAUUUUUUUCCACACAUUGAUAAUUAACACAACAUAUAUUUAUAGACACACACGCAAUAAGUCCACUCUCACACUUGCCGCGUAUUCAUAUAAAUUUUAUUAUAAGUGUUUUCAAUUAUGAUUGGCGUUGCGUUGUCUAAUGCGUUAAGAAUUCGCGUAGACUCGAGUGUUGCCUGGCAUCGAAUAAGAGAUGAUCGACCUGGUAUAGCAUUAAAAUUAUGUUAUGUAGCUAGAUCUUGAAAUUAAUUUACGAGGUCAUAAUCGCCAAUUGAGAUGAUAAUAUUCCUUCCAUGCAAUUGCCUUGCGUACCACGCAUUCAAUACUCUACUCUUUAUUCAUAU